CUGCGAGUGAAGAGGGAAAAGCUCAAAUUUAAAAUCUGGCAGUUAUUUGCUGUCCGAGUUGUAAAUUGGAGAAGUGUUAUCCGCGCUGGCCUGUGCAUAAGUCUCUUGGAAAAGAGCAUCAUAGAGGGUGACAAUCCCGUCUUUGGCACAGACUACCAGGGCUUUUGUGAUGCGCUCUCAACGAGUCGAGUUGUUUGGGAAUGCAGCUCUAAAUGGGUGGUAAAUUCCAUCUAAAGCUAAAUAUUGGCGAGAGACCGAUAGUGCACAAGUACCGUGAGGGAAAGAUGAAAAGAACUUUGGAAAGAGAGUUAAACAGUACGUGAAAUUGUUGAAAGGGAAACGCUUGAAGUCAGUCAUGUCUCACUGAAAUCAACCUGGCACUUGUCUGGUGUACUUUCUGUGGGACAGGUCAGCAUCAGUUCUGAUUGCUGGAAAAAGGCCUUCGGAAUGUGACAUCUUUUCGAAGAUGUGUUAUAGCCCUUGGACCACAUACAGUAGUUGGGACUGAGGAACUCGAUGUAAGGAUGCUGGCAUAAUGGCUUUAAUCGACCCGUCUUGAAACACGGACCAAGGAGUCUAACAUGCAUGCGAGUGUUUGGGUGGAAAACCCAAGCGCACAAUGAAAGUGAAAGUUGAGAACCCUGGUCACAAGGGGUGCAUCGACGCCCGGUCUUGAUCUUUUAGUGACGGAUCUGCGGUAGAGCAUGUAUGUUGGGACCCGAAAGAUGGUGAACUAUGCCUGAAUAGGGUGAAGCCAGAGGAAACUCUGGUGGAGGCUCGUAGCGAU
rnacentral:rRNA from 1 species